rnacentral:lncRNA from 1 species
CCAUUGUUGCAUCGCCAUCGUCUCGUCGGCUGUCCAUCUAUCACAUUUAUUAGUUGAUACAUCGGUCAACUUUUCCACCCUCUCUCUUAUAAAUAUGGAGCCCCUUUCCACCAUCUGUUCACCACUUCUUCUUCAUUUCUAUUCACCAUAGUAUUAUAGAGAGAGAGAGAAGAAAAAGAAAGAAAAAAGAGGAACGUCAUAAACUACAAGGUUUUGGUAAGAAAAUUUUGUAUUUAUUU